GGUACAUGGAGCUGAGAAAAGACACUGCAGAUUGCAUAGGAGCCUAAAACCUGCCUGUAAGUAAAUAAAAUCAAGUAACUGUAAUAAAAAAAAGUUAAUUCUAGCCUUUUGUUUGUUUCCAUUGUAAAAUUGCCAUGGGACUAAGGAAAUAUAGUAGCGCUUAAUUUUAAUAGUUCCAUCAUUGUAGAUUGGCUGGGUAUUAAUUGUGUUAAUGGUGAUCAUACUGAAUUCAUUUGGUAUUUAUUGAGAGACCACCUGUGCACCCAUAUGGUUUCCAUCAUUAUUUAGGAGUAGUUAAUGGACCCAUUAGGAGUUAGCAGAAAGAUGUGGGCUGGCAGUACUUCCCGAGAGUGGUAGAAACAUUCUGCUGAUAUCCAUUGCGUUUUGAGGAUUUUCCAAAGAGCUAUUUGCUUCCCACCAAUUUUCUUUUUCUCUAAGUUCCACAUAAUCUCAUUUUAGCUUUCAAAUGCUCCUGAAAAAAUGAAUUCAUGUUUCUUGGCCUCUCAGAAACCUAGGGGGGCAACCUUUAGCCUUCUGAUCUUGCAAAAUGUCCUUUAACAUGGUCCACACAGCUGAGGCUGCACCUGAAACGCAAAAGCAUCUCCAAGCCUUACCUCCUGCUUUAUUCAGUAGCAAAGCACUGAAAGGACUGGAAACAAGGCAAGGUGAAUGUCUUCUCAAAGCACAGACAUAUUCCUGAGCCACGUAGAGCCAGUGACACACAGCUUUACACGGGGGUUUGCCUACAAAUGGGGUCUAGCUUUGAGCUGGUGAUAUUUAGUACUGAAAUAGAGGGUGACCUCUGUCACAAAGCUUGGGAAACAGAAGACGUGAAUAUGUGAGUCACGCAUGCAGCAUGGGUCUGAGAAUCUAUUGACACAAGAACUCUUUGUUUUAAAUCAUGGAGUAUCCAAAUAUUACAGAAAUGAGAACUCGUACUGUGGCAUAGCAAAUUCCAGCCACUGGUGUUUAACAAGUGCCUUUUUAGCUCUGCAAUUGUAAAUUCCCAGUUAUUGCAAACAAGAGUAAACAAGAAAAAAAGAGAUGGGUGUGUGUGCAUGUAUAUUUCAACUGGAAAAGCAUCUUCUUUUGAAUCUGCCUAUUGGAUACACAAGAGGCUUUUUGGUUUCAGAUGACAGUUGUGUCUCAUUCAUAAAAUUCUGGACACAAUUCCAGUGCCCUGACCACCAGAGCCUUUUCAGCGCAGGAUGUGGCACCGUGACUGCAGUGAGAGCUCCUCAGGCAUGUGUUGCCCCACAGCUUGCCCUUGGAUGAAUCCUUCAAAGAACAGGACUGAAGGGUAACAAAAUUCCACUUUCAAGCUGUUCAGAAGACAUGGUGCUAACAAACAGCUCCCGAAAGGCGAGAUCUUGCAAUCUGCUGCUGUGGAGCAGCUGAAAAGCCGGUUCUCAAAUCCUGGGCAUCUCAGUGUGUGAAGCACAGGCAGGGAAGCACAAGAAAUCCCACCGAAGGUGUCCCUUCGAACGUCUGGAAAAUGUCAAACUGCCUGCCACUCUGUGCUGAGGCAAAUCUCAGCUCCAACAGAAGGCUUUGUCAACACUGUGCCAUAUCAUUAGCUUGAGGUUUAUACACUUCAGUUGACACCUCUCCCUUGUCCUACAGAUGUUGCAUUACAUUUAGGAUUGAGCCUCUAACAAUACAGCUGUUUGAACACAUGUGCAUUUUCCACUCAACAAACCGCAAGGAUAUGGCAGCAGGGUUACAACAUUUGGAUCCUAGGGCUAGAAUGAGAGAAGCAGAGUAAGGUGUUUCUUUGGGAAAUCUCUGUAGUUUCUCCUGUAGUUUCUCUCUUUCUGAUUUUAUUCACUGACUGUACUUAACUCAGGCCAUAGGGAAGGUAAAAUCUGAUUGAUAUUGCAAGUGACAACUGAGGCCUUGAAAUCAUUUCCUCAGUUCAUCUUCAAGAGGUGUUAAGCCCACAGCAUUUUGCUAGCUCUAGAGAAGUAGAGCCAUUUUGACUUUUAUUUGCAAAAAUCCACUUUAUUCCAAUUCCUGUUAAUCCUGUUACUUGUGAAUAAAUUCCUGUUACUUGUGAAUAAAUUAGAACCUGCCCCAAUAAAUGGGUUUAAAGAAGAAUUAUGAGAUAUGCUCAGAAGUGAAAGAUUUUAUAAUGUUCUUUCCACUUUUGCCACUACAGGAUAGGAGAAGCAGUGGCUAGGGUUCACUGGGAGUCUCACAAAAUCAUUGAAUGCCCUUUCUGCUAUCAAUAAAGUACAGAAGUUGGGGAGACUCGCAUGGGUGAUUUAAUAAAAUAAAGUGAGCCCCCAAAUGGGCUUCUUAAGGAA